UACAGAGGUCUCAAGCGUUGUUCGGAUUCAUUGGGCGUAAAGGGUGCGUAGGUGGUGGGGUAAGUCGGAUGUGAAAUCCCGGGGCUCAACCCCGGAACUGCAUUCGAAACUGCCUUGCUCGAGUACUGGAGAGGAGACUGGAAUUUACGGUGUAGCAGUGAAAUGCGUAGAUAUCGUGAGGAAGACCAGUGGCGAAGGCGAGUCUCUGGACAGUUACUGACGCUGAGGCGCGACAGCGUGGGGAGCAAACAGG
rnacentral:rRNA from 1 species